CCACCACCAAAGCAUUUGCUGUACCGCGUUGACGGAGCGAAGCGACGUCAAACCGAUAAAACAGCAGUGUAAAGUGAGCCGCAGGGCGCUUUGCGCGACAGCGCAAAGGCAGGCGGUUUCGCGUAGCGAAAGCGAAUGCUUUGGGGUGGGGUGACUGCGUACCUUUUGUAUAAUGGGUCAGCGACUUAUAUUCUGUAGCAAGGUUAACCGAAUAGGGGAGCCGGAGGGAAACCGAGUCUUAACCGGGCGUUAAGUUGCAGGGUAUAGACCCGAAACCCGGUGAUCUAGCCAUGGGCAGGUUGAAGGUUGGGUAACACUAACUGGAGGACCGAACCGACUAAUGUUGAAAAAUUAGCGGAUGACCUGUGGCUGGGGGUGAAAGGCCAAUCAAACCGGGAGAUAGCUGGUUCUCCCCGAAAGCUAUUUAGGUAGCGCCUCGUGAAUUCAUCUCCGGGGGUAGAGCACUGUUUCGGCUAGGGGGCCAUCCCGGCUUACCAACCCGAUGCAAACUGCGAAUACCGGAGAAUGUUAUCACGGGAGACACACGGCGGGUGCUAACGUCCGUCGUGAAGAGGGAAACAACCCAGACCGCCAGCUAAGGUCCCAAAGUCAUGGUUAAGUGGGAAACGAUGUGGGAAGGCCCAGACAGCCAGGAUGUUGGCUUAGAAGCAGCCAUCAUUUAAAGAAAGCGUAAUAGCUCACUGGUCGAGUCGGCCUGCGCGGAAGAUGUAACGGGGCUAAACCAUGCACCGAAGCUGCGGCAGCGAACGUAUCACUUAAAGCGAUUCAGCGGGUUACGAUUGACGGAGCGAAGCGACGUCAAAGCGUAUACAAAGUCGAGUCGGUUUAAGGAUACGUUCGUUGGGUAGGGGAGCGUUCUGUAAGCCUGUGAAGGUGGCCUGUGAGGG
rnacentral:rRNA from 1 species